GGUGUAAAAGCCACUCUUUAAUCACGACUCCCGGGCAAAUUAUGGACAGUUAAUUCGCUUGGCUUCUCCUCUCUUUCACGGUUAUUCUAUGCGGUCAUUUCCAUCUCCUCUCUGUGUAGCCAAAGGCGUUCCUCAGUCAAAUCGAGAACCAAUCAAUACCGAUAAUUAAUUAGAAAAAUCAGAAGAAAAAACUUGCGAGAAACUCAAGAGUUGGAGAACCGGUGGAAAAACUGCCGGAGGCUUUCGUUUGACUCCAAAGUCCCUUCACCCCCUUCAUCAUCGGUAUCCUCUCUCCUCUCGGUUGAAACCACCACCCUCCCCGCCCCCUGCUCGAGCAGACCCUAACGAAAGUCCUUGCUCAGUCGGCCUUCCUCGAGUCGGAGUUCCACUCUCUGUUCUUCCUCGUUUCACGGCCUCAUCUCUUAGGACAUCGCUGCUUUCUGGCUGCUUCGAAGCGAUCCUUCGCGCCGCUCCUCGACUGCGCCCGUUCUAUUCAACCGCGAAAAUUCUGCAGGAAUUUUAAUAACUCGGAUUCGUACUGAUUAAAACGGAGGUCGCAUCCGACAUUUCACCGACCAGUCUCUGGUUACUACUUGGCGGGUAAGUCCAAUAUUUUGCCUCUGUGUAUUUAUUCCUUUUUAAUCCGUAUUCCUUUUCCUUUUGAAGGGAGGGGGCGGCCAGAUUGGGAAAAGAUGGGAGAAAAGUGAAAUACGUGGUUGAAAUUUAUUUAGUUAUGCAAUUAUUUGAGAUUAAUUAGCCUUCCCUAGGUAGGAGGCUAGUCGUUGAUUGUGUAUAUGAAAUCGUAUGGAAUCCUGUGCAAUCUUGUUCGGUGAUAUUAA